rnacentral:lncRNA from 1 species
GUUGGUUUCAGCUGCCUGCUUCGCCCGCACGUCCGGUUCCAGCAUAGGGCGUCGAUUCUGAGAGCACGCGGGCUGUUGAGGCGCCAACGCAGGGCAGUCCCUGCGCUGGCUAGUGCGGCGACAAGCAAGGUGAUAUAUUUAUCCAUUGCUACACAAAAAAACCCUGAAUAGAAAAAUGCGUCUUCUUCUGAGACCCAUUUUCUCCAACACUUUUCCAUCUGCAUCUAAACUAUCAGUAUUCGCUAUGUUUUUUGUCUCCGUGCUAACGAGUAAUGUUUCCAUUUUUGCACGGGCCAGGGUGCGGCAACCAACCUGUUGUACGAUCAAGUCGGGGACCACGACCCCCUCGUGAACAUAGGCGGCGGCGUGUGUGCGACCUGCUCGCAAGCAGGGGAUGCCUCGUCCGGCAUGUACGACGAGACCGCUGCUUUUAAACCUGACCGGGACGUAGAUGAAGCGAGCAGCUCUGGCUUAAAUGCUCCUGUUUAGUAAUUUAGGAUCUUAUCUUAUGUGUGUGUGCUGUUUGUAUGUCGGACUUUGAGUUUGAUUUAUCCGAAAAAAUGUGUUUGUGCGUCUGUUCUAGAAUAAAACGUAGGUAAAUUUCAAAUAUAC